AGGUGCUUUUGUAACUGUACGAGUGUAUCCUAGCGGCGACUGGGUGAGUAACUCGUCGGCGACCAACCCCAAAGUGUGGGAUCACAUUCCCACCGGAUUGCUAAUACCCUCAGUGGUCAUUGGGUUUAAAGACUGAUGACUAACCGAGCGAUUCGCUCCGGAAGGCACCUGCGUCCCAUCCGAUACUUGGAGAGGCUAACGCCUCAUCCAGGCCACUACCGUAAGGGGACCUGAGAGGGUGGCCCCCUACAACGGAAUUGAAACACUGUCCAUACACCUCCGGCUGGCAGCAGUAGGGAAUAUUGCACAAUGGGUGAAAGCCUGAUGCAGCACCGACACGUGUGUGAUGAAGCCCUUCUGGUCGUAUAACACUCUUGUUGGAAACGAGAAAGGACAGUAUCCCAGGCAUAAGUCUCGGCCAAAUAGGUUCCAUCAGCCGCGGUAAAAAGUAGGAGGCGAGCGUUAUCCGGAUUCCAAUGGUCUAAAGCGCGGCCUGGCGGAGCGGUAAGUUCGGCGUGAAAUUCCCAGGGUCAACUGGGAGAGGUUGUGUCCAACUACCCUUCUUGACAGCAGAAAACGAAGACGGAAUUCCCGGGGUAAUGGGGAAAUGAGUAAACAUUGGGAGGAACACCCCUGGCGAAGGUGAUUUUCAGGUCUGUUUCACACGAUCAGUCGCGACAGAGAGGGUAGUAAACGGGAUUAUAGACCCCCGUAGUGUUCGCCGUAAACGAGGUGAACUCGGCGUUGGUGGGUUAAACUCCAUCAGUGCUGCACGCAAACGCGAUAAGUUCACCGCCUGGGGACUA
rnacentral:rRNA from 1 species